GAUGAAGAACGUAGCGAAAUGCGAUACGUAGUGUGAAUUGCAGAAUUCAGUGAAUCAUCGAAUCUUUGAACGCACAUUGCGCCCUUUGGUAUUCCAAAGGGCAUGCCUGUUCGAGCGUCAUUUGUACCCUCAAGCUUUGCUUGGUGUUGGGCGUUUUUUUGUCUUGCUCCAAGACUCGCCUUAAAACGAUUGGCAGCCGGCCUACUGGUUUCGGAGCGCAGCACAUUUUUGCGCUUGCAAUCAGCAAAAGAGGUCGGCAAUCCAUCAAGUCCAUUUCUCACUUUUGACCUCGGAUCAGGUAGGGAUACCCGCUGAACUUAAGCAUAUCAAUAAGCGGAGGA
rnacentral:misc_RNA from 1 species